rnacentral:lncRNA from 1 species
UCUGACAUGUGGUUUCUUUCAUAAAAGAUAUAUCCAAAAGAUAAAUUUCUUUAUGCAUACGUGUUAAGAACUUUUGGUUUUGAUUUUUUUUUUUUUUUUUUUUAGUUAGCGGGACCAUUGACAUUUCUGGAACCUAAGAGAAGGGAACACAUUACAUUUUCCAUGUUAGAAGCAGAGUAACUUCAGAUUCACAGUUGCUGGUGAGCUCUGGUUGCAGCGAGGAUCUGGAGAACACGUUCUAGCAAUUGGGAAGUCCUGCGGCAGCGUGUCCACCCUGUAGAUGAGGUCUCCAAAGUUGCUGCAAACAGGUCCAGCCUUUUUACCACUGAAUGACCAGAUCUAUGUAUCAGUCAGGGAAUCCAUGCUGACUGGGAUAACAGAGAUGACAGAUUUUCAGGGCUGGCCAGACAGUCAGGUUCAGUCUACCAAAAACUACUGUGUGUCAUCUGCAGUUGCUACUUACAAAAAGCUGGUUUGAGUUUUUCUUUUUUUUCUUUUCUUUUUUUCCCCUUAAAAAAAAAAAAAAAAAACUAUUAUUCUUCACUGGAAAGAAAUAAUGUGGUAUUGACAGCCUUUUCCAGGACAUAUUGCUGCUUAGGAGAAACUGAUGCAGCUGGAGUGACUUAAGCAGAUAGUCUGGGAGCAGCACAAGCAGCUUAUAAGCAGCUUCUAAAAUGUGACAGUACAAAGAAAAUGCAUAAUGUCUGUGCAACAGCUGUAGGAAAUGAUAUGUGAGAUUCCAUGUUCACUAUGUAUCCCAAACAUUAAAGAGAACAAUUUAAUGUUAACAAAGAACAUGAAAGCAGCACGCUUACAAAGUAUAGUCUUGCUGCUGUGGCAUUAACUGCACAAGCUGUGUCAACAAAGGAUUGCACAGUUAGAACAGUAUAAAUAGAUUUUGUACUGUAAUUUAUUUUUCUGUAUUUUUUUU